rnacentral:lncRNA from 1 species
AGGAAGGCCGCACCCCUAAAAAAGGGUGUAGAAUCUUGUAAAGUUGGAGCUGUCGGUGACCUGGUCCAAGCUCUGAGUCAGUGUUAGUGUCUGUGUGAAUUAAGCCCCAUAUCCUCAUCUCAGGCCUUUCUCUAUGGAGACUUCAUCUUCUGAACCCCAUGUCUGGGUCUUAUAAGGGAUCUCAGUCUGUCUGAAACUCCCCUUGUACCUCACUGCGUCGUCACAGCUGCCCUCUCAGAGGAAGAAGCGCCCCUGGGUGAGUCAGGCUUGCGGGUAGACCAGAAGCCUGUGCCCAGGGGAAGCCUCCCACAGGAGCCAUGCCAGAUACUGCUUCCUGUGGCCCUGCUUGCGGACCUGCUGAAAGAGGACGAACAGAUCCCAGGCGGCCUUACCCUGAUCUCCACAGGCCUGUCUGAUCCUGUGGCAUCCUUCCCCGCUUCUUUCGUCAGUCAGGCAGAGGACCCUGUCUCCCAUCCACAUGCGACUCUGCCCAUCCAGCCUCACUUGGGUCAUGCAUCAGUCAUGAGGGGCUGGCUGGACUCCUCCCGGCUCAGCUGUAUGGCAACAGCUCCUGCCUCUAGGUCUGAGAGCUGCCUUCAAGCCACGUGCUUCGUUUUGGAAGCCACCACUGUUCCAGUAACGUAAGACAGAAGUAAGAAGUGAAAAGAAGCAUCCUGCUCACAGCAGGGGAACCCAGACGGCCACCAGGACUUGCAGGUGCCCGGAGGGACAAUGGUGGACAGGGCAGCACCUUUGUUGAGGCCUUUUAGAAAAGACAAGCCAUCUGGCCUAAACUCAAGGUUUGGUCCUCUGGUGAGCUGGGGGCUGAGCUAAGUGGCUUUUCAAGGUCUCCUGCUCCACGCAUUCACAGGCGGUGGGUUUUGCCCCACUUGUUCUGAGCAGGGAAGGCCUCUCUCACAGUUCAAAGCUUCCAGAAGGACUGCAGCCUACCCUGAUCUUCCUCUCUCUGGAGCAGCAGAAGCACUCCAGGCUGUCUCACGAAGUUAACUCAAUUGUUUCUGCUGUGAUGACGCGCUUAUUCUGUCUUGCUUUGUUCUGUUUCGUGUGCGUCCCCUGCCUACCCCUUAU